UACGUAGGGUGCGAGCGUUGUCCGGAAUUACUGGGCGUAAAGAGCUCGUAGGUGGCCUGUCGCGUCGGCUGUGAAAACUCGGGGCUCAACUCCGAGCUUGCAGUCGAUACGGGCAGGCUAGAGUUCGGCAGGGGAGACUGGAAUUCCUGGUGUAGCGGUGAAAUGCGCAGAUAUCAGGAGGAACACCGGUGGCGAAGGCGGUUCUCUGGGCCGUGAUACUGACGCUGAGGAGCGAAAGCGUGGGGAGCGAACAGG
rnacentral:rRNA from 1 species